GCCAGCAGCUUUCUAUGUGAAGCUAAGCAGGUUUGGGCCAGGCUAGUGCUUGGAUGGGAGACUAGGAAAUCUGGGUUGUUGCUGGAA
rnacentral:rRNA from 1 species